rnacentral:lncRNA from 1 species
AUGAACUUUUCUUCCUUUUCAGAUAGGCUAAGAACACCUCUACACCUCAUCAUGAGUCACCUAGAAAUCCUGCAAGGAACCUUCAGAUGGUACAAGGAGCUUUACUUCUCACGUACAGAAGGCCGUCCUGCCGUAACUCCGGUUAUCAGUAUCCACUUGGAAAUGAGGGACAAGGGGAGCCUUUCAAGCUCAGUCAUCUAUUGUUUCCUGGAGCUGAGAUUAUUCAAGAGACAAGGCACACAUCUAUCAGCUUUACAAGUCCUGGCAAGCAAUCAAGACCCCAUGCUCCCCCACUCCCUUCAACAGAAUCAAAGGACAUCGGGGUCUCUGCUUCCUGUUCCCUCGAAGCUCGUGUUCUUCAUCACCCUGCCAUUCACGUCUUGCUACGGUGCUACGGACUUCACUGGGACAGAUUUGAAGUAGCCAUAUGCGUCUGCCUUUGUGAUUUGUCCAGUUUGUAGUAAAGAGACAGCAAACAAAAAUCAGUUUUGUCGUUGUUGUUGUUCUUAAAUAAUUAAAGCUGUGAUGUUAAGGCCUUUAUUUGAACAAUGGCAUGUGUGCUUGGCUCGUGAGUAGCCGACGGACUAACAGCAUAAAAUGGUACCCGUUUGAGAACACAAGGCCACAUCGUGGCUUGGAAGGGGUUAAAGAAGCAGAGGAACACUUACCGGGCUCCACGUUUCUUUGGAAAGGCUCCGAACUAGCAAUGCUGGCACGAUCUGCUCUGCUUACACCGUGAAUAAAGUCCUAGAGUAAUGGUCA